UGCGGAGCGGAGAUCUACGUGUCGUCCUUGACUGCGGAAAUUAAAGAAUCCAUCCGCCCCGCCUGGUUUGCCUCCCCUCGCAGUCGUCGCCCCUCACGCUCGCCUUCUGCGUCACCGUCAGCGAGUCCUCGAGCCGACGCUGCCGCCAAGCCUCAUGGCCGUCCUCCUUCGCCAUGUAGUGAACGAGACCACGCCGAGCAGCCCGAGCUCCUGGUGCGUCCUUCAAGCCCAUCUGGCCAUCCCGCUUCAUCUUCUUCCAGCACCUGACGUGACAGGAAGGGGCCUCACGAUGCGAGCUCCGCUGCAGCACCGCCGUCUCCGGUUAUCACACGUUAUGUUCCGGCCGACGUUCACUGCCUUCUUGGUCUCUCGGCUCGGAGAGCUCCGCCUACAGUUCCACAAGCACCAGCUCCAAAUCCGGCUGCCCCCAUCAUUUCUGUUGCUUUGGUUAUUCCGUGACUGGUGGCUGCCUGCGUCAACCAUGGAGAGCCCUGCUCGUGGUUGUAUUUGCCAUCAUCAUCACAGACGGUGUCAGCUCGCUUUCUCCUUUUGCAGAUCUGCUCAGCUUUCGGUCUCCACGGCUUUUGCAUUCUGCUAGCAAAGGUAGGAGAGGUAAGGACUGCCCUUGAUUCAUUUCUUUCUUUCUUUUGUUUAUGUUUAUUUUCUCAUCAUGGAAUGCUACCAAAGUAAAUUGGUAAAGAUUGCUGCACACCAGAAUUGUCACGUAUGUUGAGUUUUUUUCUCAUCCCAUACCAUCUCCUUAACAACUACCUUUACUUUAUCUUAUUAUGAUAUAAUAUAAUGUGAUACAUGAUUAAGCCAUUCACAAUAUAGUUUCACUUUUAAAGAUUGUCUUCUCAAGUGUCCUGUUAUACAUUGUCUUAUAAAAAUAAAGUACUUUCUGAUUAUAAUUAUCAUUUGGCCUACACCAGAUUUUGUUGUAGAGAGGUUAGUGGCAUAGUGGGCUCAUGAACUUUUUCCUUUUAUCCUCGGGUAUCCAAGAAGAGGCGGAGUAGUGUGUUUUGACUUUUGAGCCUGGAUGUUAAUAAGGUUCAGCGCUGGAUAAUGGACAAAUAUUUGGUGCACAAUCCAUCCAUACGAUUCAGAAGGUGCAAACAUUUUAUUUGUUUAGACCAAAUCACUCAUGACGUUUCCAUGCUGAUAUUUGGUACCUGCGUAUUAUGGCUGUUCCUAAGCCCUCAGCCACUGUAUAUAUAUUCAAAAUUAUAUAUGCACGCAUAAUAUGUACUUAAGCUACAUGCUUCUACAGGCUUAGGACACAUUAGCCUUUGACAAUAUGAAUAACUGACUAUUCACUCCGUUUUUAUUUAAAUGUCAUAUUAGGUUUGUCCUAAAUCAAACAUGGCAAACUUUGAUCAAACUUAGAGAGAAAAAAUAACAUUUUUAAUGUCAAAUUUGUUUCAUUGGAUCUAUCAUGAAGUAUAGUUGUUGUUGUUGUAUUUUUCUAUAGACCUGUGUCUCCUGCCUACCCGGUGUUUCUUCAUUUUUUUAAGCAAAGCCCGCUAUUGCUUCGUUGCUCCUGCUAUCAUGCUCAUUGCCGACCAGCGCAACAUUUUUGUGGUUCUCUUUAUCCCUUUUGGUCCUCUUCUCUUUUGUGGGCCGCUCGCUAGGUCGUCCGUGCCUAUUCAUUAUUUCAGCCCGUUUUUGUUGCAGCUGCUGGGACUGUAGAGGACCGAUGUGGCGUAGAAGGUACAUAGUCCCGAAUCAAGUGAAAUGCGGCCCUCUAGCUCGUUGCACUAUCGAUAAGUGCCGCACAAUGCAAGCUGCGAGUCCUCCGGGUUUGGCGACACUGUUGUAUGCAGGAUCACGCCUCCCGGCACGACACUGGACACCUGCUGCUGCAUGCAGAAUGCUGCUCGGAGACUAGCUUGACUUUCAGUAUCGAGGCCGGCCGGCUCUAGCUAGCUAGCUGGGUGUGAAAUAAUGAUAGAUCAAUGGAAAUGUUAAUUGUGGAUCACAACAAUUUGGAUCUUGUAAACUUUUUCAUUAUUACCAACUAUAUCCUCUGGCAUUGACUCA